rnacentral:rRNA from 1 species
AGAGUUUGAUCAUGGCUCAGGAUGAACGCUGGCGGCGUGCCUAAUACAUGCAAGUCGAACGAGGUGCUUUUGUAGCAAUACGAGAGUAUCCUAGUGGCGAACGGGUGAGUAACGCGUUGGUGACCUACCCCAAAGUGUGGGAUAACAGUCCGAAAGGAUUGCUAAUACCGCAUGUGGUCAUUGGAUUUAGAAACUGAUGACUAAAGGAGCAAUUCGCUUUGGGAGGGACCUGCGUCCCAUCAGCUAGUUGGUGAGGUAACGGCUCACCAAGGCGACGACGGGUAGGGGACCUGAGAGGGUGGCCCCCCACAAUGGAACUGAAACACGGUCCAUACACCUACGGGUGGCAGCAGUAGGGAAUAUUGCACAAUGGGCGAAAGCCUGAUGCAGCAACGCCGCGUGUGUGAUGAAGGCCUUCGGGUCGUAAAGCACUUUUCUGGGAGAUGAGAAAGGACAGUAUCUCAGGAAUAAGUCUCGGCUAACUACGUGCCAGCCGCCGCGGUAAUUC